AACGAACGCUGGCGGCAUGCCUAACACAUGCAAGUCGAACGAGACCUUCGGGUCUAGUGGCGCACGGGUGCGUAACGCGUGGGAACCUGCCCUUAGGUUCGGAAUAACUCCCCGAAAGGGGUGCUAAUACCGGAUAAUGUCUUCGGACCAAAGAUUUAUCGCCUUUGGAUGGGCCCGCGUUGGAUUAGCUAGUUGGUAGGGUAAAGCCUACCAAGGCGACGAUCCAUAGCUGGUCUGAGAGGAUGAUCAGCCACACUGGGACUGAGACACGGCCCAGACUCCUACGGGAGGCAGCAGUGGGGAAUAGUGGAAAAUGGGCGAAAGCCUGAUCCAGCAAUGCCGCGUGAGUGAUGAAGGCCUUAGGGUUGUAAAGCUCUUUUAACCGGGAUGAUAAUGACAGUACCGGGAGAAUAAGCUCCGGCUAACUCCGUG
rnacentral:rRNA from 1 species